GAGCGACUGCGGAGGGACAUUACACAAAUAUGAAGGCGGGCUGGAACCUCUCGGGGUUACAGCCUUGCUGAAUUAUUCACCCUUGUCUUUUGCGUACUUCUUGUUUCCUUGGUGGGUUCGCCCACCACUAGGACAAACAUAAACCUUUUGUAAUUGCAAUCAGCGUCAGUAACAAAUUAAUAAUUACAACUUUCAACAACGGAUCUCUUGGUUCUGGCAUCGAUGAAGAACGCAGCGAAAUGCGAUAAGUAGUGUGAAUUGCAGAAUUCAGUGAAUCAUCGAAUCUUUGAACGCACAUUGCGCCCUUUGGUAUUCCAAAGGGCAUGCCUGUUCGAGCGUCAUUUGUACCCUCAAGCUUUGCUUGGUGUUGGGCGUCUUGUCUCUAGCUUUGCUGGAGACUCGCCUUAAAGUAAUUGGCAGCCGGCCUACUGGUUUCGGAGCGCAGCACAAGUCGCACUCUCUAUCAGCAAAGGUCUAGCAUCCAUUAAGCCUUUUUUUCAACUUUUGACCUCGGAUCAGGUAGGGAUACCCGCUGAACUUAAGCAUAUCAAA
rnacentral:rRNA from 1 species